rnacentral:rRNA from 1 species
GACGAACGCUGGCGGCGUGCUUAACACAUGCAAGUCGAACGGAAAGGCCCUGCUUUUGUGGGGUGCUCGAGUGGCGAACGGGUGAGUAACACGUGAGUAACCUGCCCUUGACUUUGGGAUAACUUCAGGAAACUGGGGCUAAUACCGGAUAGGAGCUCCUGCUGCAUGGUGGGGGUUGGAAAGUUUCGGCGGUUGGGGAUGGACUCGCGGCUUAUCAGCUUGUUGGUGGGGUAGUGGCUUACCAAGGCUUUGACGGGUAGCCGGCCUGAGAGGGUGACCGGCCACAGUGGGACUGAGAUACGGGCCAGACUCCUACGGGAGGCAGCAGUGGGGAAUAGUGCGCAAUGGGCGGAAGCCUGAUGCAGCGACGCCGCGUGCGGGAUGACGGCCUUCGGGUUGUAAACCGCUUUCGCCUGUGACGAAGCGUGAGUGACGGUAAUGGGUAAAGAAGCACCGGCUAACUACGUG